AUUUUUAUUUGUCUAAACUUCUUUUCUUUCGCUUUCUCUUUCACGGUUCCCUUUCAUUUUCGCAGUUCCUCUUUCCCUUUCUCAGUGCCUCUCACCGCUCAAGGAGAAGGAAGCAGUUGUGGCUCGUGCACUAGGAGGAAGAAGGCAUUGCUCUUUCGAUUUCAUGGUUUUCUUUGAAAUCAGGUAAUAAACACAUGCUUUCAAUUUCGUCACCGCUAUUUUAAUUUCGUCAUUCGAUUUCAUCUCCAUGCUUUCAUUUUCAUCUCAUUUUCGCUUAUUUUGCCUUUUUACGGAAUAAUUGAGGUUUUACAUUUUACUUUUGCCCUUGGGGUCCUAUUCAUGUUCCACCACACCAAUUUGUGUUUUGUUUGCUAUGUUUUGGGGUUGUUAUGAAGAUGAAGGAAGAACUAGGAGGAGUGCUUAUAUAUAGUGAGGGUGUGUUGAAGGGGCGGGGUUUGUUUUCUGAUUUAGUAUAAAAAUGAGUUUUUGUAAAAUUGAUUGAAAUUUGUGAGCUUUGUGAUGACUGAAUGAGUGGGGAAACCUGCACGCUAAAUGUUCAAUAUUCAACAUUUCAUUUGAAGAUUAGUCCCAUAGAAAAUAAACGGAAUAAACUUUAAUCGAAAGUAAAAUACCAUAAGUAACUAAAUAUGAUUAGCAUUUUUAUUUGGAAUUAAAGCUAAGCAAUAUGAUAUCAGAUUUUAGAUUUUUUCUAAUACAGGAGCUAGUGUAGACUUUAAUUGAUAGAAUAGGUAGAUUCUUUAAUUCUUCUUGUUUUUGCAUUAGUUUUACUGCAUUAACAUCAUUAGUCUAAUUUUAGUUAGUCAUAACAUAGGCUACAAUAGUUAAAGUAGUGAUGUAUUCGAUCCUUGUAAUUGUUAGUUUAGUGUAGUUUUAUUUUCCAUUUUAGUUACUGUUUUAAAUUUUUAGAAUAACUAUUCAUUUGCUAUCUUUAGUUUAAGACUUUAUCUAGUUUUAGUAGUUUAUUCAUCCAUUAUUUUUCUAUUUUGACUAACGUUACUAACAUUCUACCUGUUAUGUUACUAGUUUUGUUUUAUUUGUAGUUUUGUUGUACAGGUUCACUAACAUGGUUGACAAUAGUACAGUCCACUACUUGAAGACUAUGUCAUCAUAGUUGCAUUGUGGUUCCAUUUUAUAUUUCAUCAAGAUUCUUCUUUCAUUCUUGUUUUUCCUAAUUUGGUUCCCUUAAAUGGUUAUCUUAGAAUUAUAUCACUGAUUAAAAAUUUGUUUCUAUGUAAUGUUCUAUUUUAGUAGAAUAUCUUUAGGUACAAAGUUAGAUUUUAAAAUUCUGGUAUGUAUAGUUUAAUUGUAGAUUGGUACUUUUUUUCUCCUCUAACAGUUAAAAGAAAUCAUGAAUAGGUUGACAUAAAAUGUUUCCAGAAUCCAACAGAACAUACUUGUAACAUAAAAGAUUGGCAUUUUUAUUCAUAAAUGAGCAAUGUUCAUAUAAUAUCAGAUCAUUCAAAAUCAUUUUCUUUAUGCGUCUUAAACUCAUCUUGGAUUCUACACUGUAUAAUUAUUUGCUCUGAAAUUCAAUAGAAGAGAUUUUCUUCCAUAUUCAAUUUUUAGGCAGUUUAGAAAGCUUUGUAAAGUGGUUUUGUGUUGGGGUUGAUUUUUCUUCCACGUUAAUUAAUGGCCUGCGUUGUCACCAAAUCACUUGUAGCUCAACUUGAUGAUGACAACUUGAUUCCAUGCUUUGGCUUUGGUGAUGCUACCACCCAUGAUCAAGAAGUGUUUAGCUUUCACAGUGAUCAUUCACCUUGCCAUGGCUUUGAGGAAGUCUUGGCUUGCUACCAGAAAAUAGUUCCGAACUUGAAACUUUCAGGUCAUUAUCAUCCUUAAUCUUUUGUAGUGUUGUUCUUGAAGGUGUGACUCCUUUUGUGCAAGAAAACCAAGAGGUUUUUCUCCCUUUGGAUGAUUAGAAGAAUAAUACAAAAGGAGGUCGAUCAGUUGGUUAUGAUUCCACUUUGAUAAUAAGUUUUAUGUUUUUGGUAAUCCAAAUUUGUUUUGUGGAUAUAGCAAACCGGUGGACCAAAAGCAAACUGAUGGUGAAUCCAACAGCCACCAAAUUACUAUAACAACCAAAGCAUCGUGUAAUCACCCUACUAAUUGGAUUGGACUCUCUAACAUACACAUUUUUUUUUUUGAAGUCUACACAUGUUAAUUGACCUCAAAUUUGUAUUUAUUCUUUGAACUUACACACACACACACACACUUACACUCAUCUCUACGUGACAAUUUUAGAUAGACCUGUAGUUUUUUCAUGCGAACAGAUUUUUGCCUCAACCAAUGGUUUCUCUAAUUCAAAUCUACUUGGGCACAGAGCACAUGGUUCUGUUUAGUAUGCUCUCCAUUGUGACCAGGUUUGGGUUCGUAUACUUUUAGUUGUGUUGUAGAAAAAAGCAAGUCCUUCACCAUAAGGAACUAAGACAACUAUUAUACUCCUACUGAUUUGGCCUGUAUUUUAAAUCUAUUAGAAAGUUGCUAUUAAAAGAAUUACAGCUACAAAAACUAAAGAUAAAAGUUUUGUGCAAGGUUCAUCAUGCUAAUCUGGUAAUGCUUUCUUAUUGUUCGCAAUAGAUUAAUUUUCAGAAUAAAUUCCUUGUAGUAAUUCAAGAGCUUGAGUCCAAUUUCUUAUUAAUUUUGUCAAGGUAGAAUUGGUUAGCUAUGCGGCUAGUCAUGAUGAUUUUUUCCAUAUUUAUGAAUAUGCUCAGAAAGGUUCACUCAGUAGCCAUUUGCAUGAUACUUAAAAUAAAGUCAUUUUGAACAGAAACUUGAAUAUGGCUGGCUUGUCAACCUGUUGUUGGAAACGAAGAAAACUCUGGCAAAGUUGUUGUUCGAAGGAUUCUCAGUGGAAGAAGUAAUAGACCAUACGAAGCAGGAUUUCCAUGUGGUCCUCGAUUUAACAGGGUUAGAAGCACAAGUUCAAAUCAGUGAUGGUUGCAGCAUAAAUUUGUUAAAACAUUUGGUUUGGUUCUUAAUGUAAGCUGACAGAUAACUAUAAUGUAUAAUUUCCUUUCAUGUUUUUUACUAUUUCUCA